rnacentral:rRNA from 1 species
AACGAACGCUGGCGGUAUGCUUAACACAUGCAAGUCGAACGGCAGCAUGGUCUAGCUUGCUAGACUGAUGGCGAGUGGCGGACGGGUGAGUAACGCGUAGGAAUAUGCCUUGAAGAGUGGGACAACUUGGGGAAACUCAAGCUAAUACCGCAUGUACUCGAGAGAGUAAAGCUGGGGACCUUUAGGCCUGGCGCUUUAAGAUUAGCCUGCGUCCGAUUAGCUAGUUGGUAGGGUAAAGGCCUACCAAGGCGACGAUCGGUAGCUGGUCUGAGAGGAUGAUCAGCCACACUGGAACUGAGAGACGGUCCAGACUCCUACGGGAGGCAGCAGUGGGGAAUAUUGGACAAUGGGGGGAACCCUGAUCCAGCAAUGCCGCGUGUGUGAAGAAGGCCUGAGGGUUGUAAAGCACUUUCAGUGGCGAGGAGGUUUGGAAGGUUAAGAGCUAUUCAAAUGGACGUUACCCACAGAAGAAGCACCGGCUAACUCCGUGCCAGCCGCCGCAGUAA